rnacentral:rRNA from 1 species
AUGGUAACUCGAGCCCAAAUGCUUUCCAUUUUCGUUGUUUCUCCCCCCUCCCCCGUUGGAUUUAGGGUUAGGGCGUCGCUAGCCGCGGGCCGCCGCCGGCACCGGCGCGGACGAGGAUGGCGUUUUCGCGGUCGAGGGAGGCGGCGGGGUGGCGUUUCCGCGGUCGAGGGAGGCGGCGGGGUGGCGUUCCCGCGGGUCCAGGGAGGAGUCGGGGUGGCGUUCGCGCGGACAGAGGCAGGGGCCGGGGUGGGGUUCCCGCGGGCAGAGGGAGUUGGCGCGGCGGUGAAUCAUGGUUCCCGAUCUGAUCUGUCAUACGAGCAACUACUAAAAGAUUCAUUAGAUUUGGUGGAUUUGGAUGUUGCAGGUAUCUCUGGUGAGAAUGAGGGGAGUAAGAAGGCUAAGAAGAAGAUUAAGAAGAAAGGCAAUCUAUGUGGCUUUAAGUCAAGGUUUAACUCAAAAAGGCUGGCUCAGAUUGGGAAGCAAAUAUCACCGGAAAAACAGAGAAUCAUAAGGGAGGGACCGUUUGGAGACUUGUUGGACAUCCGGCCUUUCAAGGUGCCCCAUGAGCUCAUUGAGUUUGUUGCGAUGAACACGAAUCACGUACUCUCUGAGUUCAAACACAAGAACAAAUCUAUCACCUUCAGCAAGCUUAUGGUGAAAAGGAUUUUCAACGUGCCAUCCGGUGAUAGACCCGUGAAGCUUCUAAAGAAGAGUGAUGAACAUGAUCUUCGCAACAUUUACAAGGAGGGGAACAGGGCUCCAAUCGCCCAUGUUGUCAAGUUGCUCACUAGUUGCAGUGAGGAGGACGUGGAUAUGAUAAAUAGGACUUGGGCACUCCUUGCGUUGUCAACAGUUUUGUGCCCAGGCACGGGCAAUAUGGUGAACCUUGAGUAUCUUGCUUCCUUGGAAGAUAUGUCUUUGAUCAUAUACAUGGAUCAUGUUGAUAUCCCGGCUGGCCUCCCAAAUGAGCAUGCUAUUGAUUAUUCCGUGCCGAGGAUAGGUUUUGUUUGCCAAAAGGAUUUUGAGUGGCUGGAUAAAGUUGACAAGAACAAGCUCACUCUUAUCCAACCUUUCUACGGGAAACACACCCAUAUCCGGAGUUUGUGCAACACCCCCUAUGCAGCACAACUUGUGGGACAGGAAGUUGGUGCUGAAGCAGCUAGUGGGCAGGGAGGUGGUGCUGAAGCACCUAGUGGCCAAGGAAUUAGUGGCCAAGAAAGCCAAGUUCAAGGUGCUGAAAAUCAAGCAAAGAACUCUCAAUCAAACGAGGCUCAACAAAAUGUUGAUUCUGAACCACACCUAUCAUCAUCGCUGAAGGAGUGGCUGCAGCAAUCAUUCCCUAGCAUGCAAGAUCUAAGGGUACCAACUCAGUUUCAAAUGCUUUACGACAAGCACAAGGGUAUUUUUGCAGUGGAGGUGGAUGAUGUUGUAGGCAAGUUUGGACAGUGUUUAAAGGGAUUGCAGUGCAGCCGGAUGGCUGCCCUCCUUCGCGAUGUUGGAGACGCCGUCACAGCUACCAGUGAGCCCAACUUCUCCUUCGAAGCACCUAUCAUGGACGAAUGUCGCGGAAAAGAGAAUGAUGCUAAAGCUGCAAAUGAUGGCAUUGGUGCUCAAGCUCAAGCUGAAGGUACAACACCUAGCAUUAACAAGGAUGAAGUCACCGGAUUGAAGCAACAAGUAGCAACCGAGGCUGCUGAAACUCGUGAGCAACAACGAGUGAGUUUCGAGAUGGAAGGGAACGUCUCACCUCACAGCCCCCCACUCUUCUAUGAUGCACCCAGGAGUGCGACAGCUGGCAUUUGGGACGACGAGCCAUCAUGUGAGUUGUUCCCAAAGGGCUCCGAAGACUACGAGAUGAUGCAUUGCACGGAUGAGCCUAUAACCAAGAAAAGCACAGUCAGCCCCAUAUUUGAAAACAUCCCCGUGUUCCCUGUUUCAGACGAUGAUGAAAGCCCAACUCCUAAUAUGGUCGUUACAGAAGAGCAUUUUGUUGAGGCAAGCAGUGGCCCUAGCACACAUGACAAGAACACUAGGAAGAAGAGGAUGGCCAAAGUUCCAGCGGUAAAAAAUACCAAGGCAAAGAAGCAAAAGGUUGAUGCAGCUGCAGCCAUGUAUGAGAAGUAUGUAAAGCAUGGGAAACCAUUGAGGAGAUCACAUGCCAAUGAACAAGUGACACCUUUCAUCAAGAUGGGUGGAUUUUACAUUGGAUACAAGAAAUUCCUGGUAUGCUUCAAGCCUCGUGGGGAUAUGAAUGAUGAGGUUAUGUCCCUAUGUAUCGAGAUGAACAACAUGACAUCCCGUGCAGCAAGUGGUACGAAUCGGAAGAAAUACAUUUCUCAGUCCACGCGGGGAUGUGAUUGUGGCUUUUUCGGGCUCAAAUAUGUGGAGAACUUUGAUGGGAAGUCAAUGAAAGAGUUCAAUCAGGAAGACGUGGCGCGAUACCGCAUGGAUGUGGUGCACAACCUUUGCACUCACCCAAUGAACAAUGCCCCAAUGGAGCGGGCAUUCAAUGAAGAGUUGGCGGCUUAA